rnacentral:rRNA from 1 species
GGAGGAAAGCAGGGGAUCGCAAGACCUUGCGCUCAUUGAGCGGCCGAUGCCUGAUUAGCUAGUUGGUGAGGUAAAGGCUUACCAAGGCGACGAUCAGUAGCUGGUCUGAGAGGACGACCAACCACACUGGGACUGAGACACGGCCCGGACUCCUACGGGAGGCAGCAGUGGGGAAUUUUGGACAAUGGGGGUAACCCUGAUCCAGCCAUGCCGCGUGAGUGAAGAAGGCCUUCGGGUUGUAAAGCUCUUUCAGCCGGAACGAAACGGUCACGGCUAAUACCUGUGACUACUGACGGUACCGGAAGAAGAAGCACCGGCUAACUACGUGCCAGCAGCCGCGGGGAUACGUAGGGUGCGAGCGUUAAUCGGAAUUACUGGGCGUAAAGCGUGCGCAGGCGGUUUUGUAAG